AGGAUGAACGCUGGCGGCGUGCUUAACACAUGCAAGUCGAACGAUGAAGCCGGAGCUUGCUCUGGUGGAUUAGUGGCGAACGGGUGAGUAACACGUGAGUAACCUGCCCUUGACUCUGGGAUAAGCGUUGGAAACGACGUCUAAUACCGGAUGCGACGCGCGAAGGCAUCUUCUGCGCGUGGAAAGAAUUUCGGUCAAGGAUGGACUCGCGGCCUAUCAGCUAGUUGGUGAGGUAACGGCCCACCAAGGCGACGACGGGUAGCCGGCCUGAGAGGGUGACCGGCCACACUGGGACUGAGACACGGCCCAGACUCCUACGGGAGGCAGCAGUGGGGAAUAUUGCACAAUGGGCGCAAGCCUGAUGCAGCAACGCCGCGUGAGGGACGACGGCCUUCGGUUGUAACCUCUUUAGUAGGUAAGAAGCGAAAGUGACGGUACCUGCAGAAAAGCACCGGCUAACACGUGCCAGCAGCCGC
rnacentral:rRNA from 1 species